GCCGCGGCUACGUGGGACAAACCUAGUAAUACUUCGUAUUUUGCAUCAGCGUUUUUCACUUAUGAAUCAGUUAUAAGCGCGAUUUCGGGACGACUAGGGGAGAGGGGCUUAGCCUACUCACAAAUAUAUUUUUAACUCCCUCCCAAUGAUGUCACGAUUCAAUGUAACGCGGAGAAUUAAAAUACGGCUUAGAACUUCAUGUAUUGAAAAACAGAUAUUCGAGUCUUUCAUUAAUAUAAAGGGAUAUUUCUAAUAGUAAUUGUGCAGAAUAUAUUUUAAACGAAUUUUCAAACAGGACCAUAGGUUCUCUUUUUAAAAACAAAAAUAAAUGUUCAUUUAAAUUGAUUGAUUUUGUUGUUUUAAUUGUUUAAUAAUUUGAUUGUGUCUUUUAUUUUGUUGUGGCUGUAUGUACGGAGUGACAACGUUUACACUAUAUCCGAAGACGCCCGACAAGAGUCUAUUUGACGUAAAUUUAUUCAGCCCCCUUAAUUGAAAAAUUGAAAUUGCGACUAUGAAAUCACACCAUCCUCUGUACCGAUCUCAAUUCAUUCACACUAAUUUCCCCGGCUAACCCUGUAAAGUACGUUUAGGGUGAUUCAUUAUACACGCUCACUCCGUUUUUAUGUAAUUUUAUGUAAUUUUACAUGUAUUCAAAUUUAAAUUUUCGGCAUUUUCAAGUGUAAUUAAAGCCAAUGUUUUCGAAUAUUUAGAUUUUUCACAACAUUUAAAGAGUAGCGAUACCAUAUUUGGUCUUUCAAAUGAUAACCUAUAUGAAAAAUUCCGUAAAUGGAUGAAGUUUAAAAAUAUAAUUGUUUAAAUAAAUUUCGAUGUAAACAUGUUUGAUUUCCGUCAACCCGUUGCUGAAAUAUUGCACUUUUAAGUUCAAGUAGGCGGAUAGUAGUAGUGAAAUAUCAUUUGUGAAGUAGCACGGUGCGCGGCGUUUUAAUAGUUUUUGGC